GUGAAAUUGUAUUGGUCACAUACACAUUGUUAGCAGAUGUUAUUGCGAGUGUAGCGAAAUGAUUAUGCUUCUAGUUCCGACAGUGCAGCAGUAUCUAACAAGUAGUCUAACAACUCCACAACAGAACCCUAAUACACACUAAUCUAAGUUAAGGAAUAGAAUAAGAAUAUAUAAAUAUAUGGAUGAGAUAAAAAAAUACACUAUCCCAGGAUAGGUGCAACAUCCGAGAUGACGUACAAUGGUUCCAGACCCUCCCCCACACAUAUUUUUCUCAGAAUCGAUCUCUAUGGUGGAAAAUUGCAAGAUUAUCUUAUAAUACUUUUAUUGCAUCAAAUGGUUGCUUUAUACUACAGAAUAAGAGUUUGUUAUAAUGCUCAUCUGUGUGUGUGUUUUACUGAGGAUGGGCCUCUGGGAGAUAACACUGACAAGAGAUUUACAAUGUCUUGUGGGUGAUAAAACCUAAAGAGACCGCAUUCCAGAGCAUGAGUUAAUGUUUCUGUUCUCUAUGGUACCAGGGAGAGAUGACCCCAGGGCCAUACCCUGGUCUGAACAAUGAAAGAAAACUGUUGACACAGCAGAUACUGUCUGCUGUGAAUUAUAAGUAUCUUUCAUACAAAUCUUAACCUUGUGACCCAUUCCAUACAUCUGUUGUUCAUCAUGUAGGUUGAAAGGGGUGUAACUUGGCUAUAAAAUGCCUUUGUACUUUUGUCUCGGGGCUAACUCUGACUUGUGUGAUAAGUUUCUCUCUCCUAUUUUGAUAGUAAAGAAAUUAACCACCACAUCUCCCCCAAGUCCAAAGGAGGGAGUGAAUGGUGCACAGACAUUGUGGAGACAAGUAAUUGGUUCCCCAUGAAUCACAUGGUUUAAAAUAGGUGACUGAGCCCCAGCUGAGGGAGGAAGUGCAACUGCCAACAGCAGAAUCCGAAGGGAUACAUUCUAACAACAAGAGUUCAACAGUUCAAUCAUAUAAGCAUAUUAUGUAGAUAAGACAUCUUAAUUAUCUAUGCCACAAACGUCUGACAGAAAUGUGUUCUUUAUUUUCCUGUAAGAAUUUGUGUAGUUUGCUACCAGCUUGAGCUCAACUUGCUUGUUGUUUUCUGGACAGUUAAAUAUUUUUUGACUAAUUUAUUGCAUUAUGACUAAACUGUGUACUGUGGUGGUUAUGAUCUUGUGAACAUUUGUUUGAACCUUGUGCCCAGAUUGUCCUAACUGAGGAUGCUGUGUAGGACAGAGAGAAGUUGAUCCACAACAAGAUAUGUAAUGACUUGUAAUGUCUGGUGGUGAGGACAAGUUUGCCUAAAAUGAAAAUAUUUCAAUGUCUGUCUUUUUUUAAUUGAGUGUGCAUGCAUUAGUGAUCUACUCUGUCAGUAUUAAUUUCAAGAGAUUUCAGAAUAGCGAAGUUUGGCUCUAUCAUUGUUGCAAGUAAAUGGUUCAAAGCAAGCUAAACUUCACUCUUCUCUGAUGCGAGUGACCACAUCCCUCUCUUGGAGUUGGGUACGAGCUGGGAAGGGCCCUGGACAUGCACAACAAGAUCCUCUGUCUUUGCCCGACCCUCCUUCUGGAAAAUCGGAUCAGAGGGGCCGAUGACGGGUCCCUAUUCCGGGUGCGAGGCUACAAUGAGGAGGUGGAAGGCACCCUGGAAGAGUACUUAAACAGACUUGCCAAAGUCUGAGACGGUCAAACUGCACAUCUAAGGUGCCCGUCAAAGUAUAAGAAAAUAUAUAGUUAUGAUUCCCACUAUGCUGUCUCUCAAUGGUUUUCAAAAAUGGUUAUGAAUCAAGGUUUUUGUAGAGAUUUUAUACAUAUGACGUAAAAUGAAUAUAUGUUCUACAUACAGUAAGUACAUGUUUUGUCUUUUUACUGAUUUCAUGUCACUUUGUUGAAGGCUUGUAAACCUAAAUCAUAAAGCUCACAGCCAUGGCGCAUGGGCUUUUUUGCUUGUUGUAGUUUCCUUCAUGUGGUAAUCAGUAGAUGCGAGUACCACUUUGUCCACUGGGUGUCACUUGCUCCCUUUUAAAAAAACAAGCAGGGCUCUUUUCAUAUAAAAAUUCAUGAUAUCCUAAAAUGGACAGAUGGUUGACACAUUGAGUUUGUGAGCUAUUUCUCACUGACACAACAAGAAAAUGUGUACCAGAACAGUACCAGAACAGGUGAAUGAUUCAUUCAGUAUUUCAAGCUUGGGCUCCAUUUAGACUACUACCUUAGAGCUCUGUAUUCCUAUAAGGAUAGAUUUAAUAGUGGAGUGGAGCCAGCUUGACUUGAAUGUUAACAGGCAGCAGAGCUGUGGAAGGAUGGUGGAGGCCUUUCUACACAGGGGAAUACAUUUCUGCUAUAUAUCCCUAAAGAGGCAGCUGCCAUUGUGGUACAAGCAUCGUUGCCCACACAGAGUUGUCAGUACUCUUCACUUCCAUCACCUCUGUAACUGUAUCAUAAUCCUCUCCAAGUUCUUGUUUCAUUCCUAAACUGUGACAGGUGACCAAGGAACCAGCCGGCUUUAGAGAAAGAAUAAAUAGUUUUUGGUUCACACUAGGCCCGUCUCUGGCAGUCUUGAGUAUCAUAGCGGUCUGUGUUUAUUACAAAGUUAAGACAUUCAUUUUCAUUGCUGCCAAUAAUAGGCCUUAGAGGAGUAAUAUCAGCCAAGGAGGGAUGUUGCACCUCUCUCCUAAAACAACUUGAUUGGUCUUCUCAAGUUCACUCGCUCAUAUUUUAUGGGAUCUGAAUGCCAUGGCUGUUUAUGGACCAUCAGUACAGAGUUCCCAUUUGUUUCACAUCAGUACCAGUUGACAGAGCACAGUGAUGAGGCUGUACCCAGUUGGAGGCACACCAUUAGGCUCACGUAGCAAACCAUCUGCUUCAGGGAUGAAUCCUCAUCAGCGGUGAUUAGGCACAGAAUAUCUGGCCUUAGGUCAGUGAAAACCUCAAUGAGAGUAAGGACUACUCCACUACCCUGUGCGGCUGCUAGUUUAGGGAUUCUCAUGUUGUUCCAUUUUUUAUUAUUUAGAGAAUUUUUGAAUGGUCGAUCCCUGACUUUUCAAUUGGUAAAAUUAGAUUAAUUUUGGUGUGUUGCAACAAUGCUAUUUUACAGUAACUUCUGUUGCAAUGACAUGCAUGUUACAGAGUAGCUCUCACUCUCUUAUGUGGUGAACCUGAGGAGGGGAAACUGGCUGGAGCUCUUUCCUACAGGAAGUGAGGACUCUAGUUUCAGGUUAUUCUUGGGAUCUCCAUAACUUCCUCUGUUGAAUAUUAUGCCAGGGUGGGGUCAGGUCACAUUUCACCUCCGCCAGUCAUGAUUUGGCAAAUUAAGGGCUUUGGGAGUUGAGGAAAUGUUGAUGGUGGGAUAAGAGCGCUGAGAUUCAGGGAAGCUACAUGGGUAAGUCGUGAAAAUGAUGUAAAAACGACUGCAGGUCACCUAUUACAGUAGUGGCAUGAAGAGCUGAGUCUGAACCAUUGGUGGUUGUCUCCUGGAAAAUAGAGUUUCAGAAUUCAGUUUUUAUAUUUGACACUUCGUAGCAAAGGGACAGUAGCUAGAUUUCCAUCCAAUUGGCGACAGAUUUUCAUGUGAAUAUUCUAAAAUCGACAAAAACAGUAUGCGCAUUUUCCCACCAGAAAUGUUUCCAUCAAAUUGACUUGUGUAUAAAAGGCUGUGCGUUAAUAUUGUAGUGCACAUAAAAUAACUUUUGCGCUUGAAUUCCCAUGUACUGAAUAAAAAACACAAGUUAAAUCUCA